UACGUAGGUGGCGAGCGUUACUCGGAAUUACUAGGCGUAAAGCGUAUGUAGGCUGUCGUAUAAGUCUUUAGUAAAAUUUCCCGGCUCAACCGAGAAAAGCCUAAUGGAUACUGUUCGACUUGAGUGUGGGAGAGGGAGACGGAAUUCCUGGUGUAGCGGUGAAAUGCGUAGAUAUCAGGAGGAACACCGAUGGCGAAAGCAGUCUCCUGGACCAAUACUGACGCUGAUGUACGAAAGCUAGGGUAGCAAACAGGAUUAGAUACCCUGGUAGUCCUAGCUGUAAACUAUGUUCACUAGAUGUGGGAGGUAUCGACCCCUUCCGCGUCGAC
rnacentral:rRNA from 1 species